rnacentral:rRNA from 1 species
AUGAAGCCUGUACGUAAAGUUAAUCGGUUUAUUGCGGUUCCUCCAAGUAACUUGCACCAGCAUCUCGGUGACCUCCUCAUCAGCAUUGAUGGAGCUGAUGUGACCUUUCGGGUUGGCGGGUCCGUGCUCGCUGCUUGGUCAUCAGUAUUCAGAGCGGAGCUCUUUGGCCCCAUGAAGGAGAGUGGGAACAGUCUGAUUGAAAUUAGCGAUAUGGAAAGUCACGUGUUCAAGUCUUUGCUCCACUUCAUUUACACGGACUCACUGCCUGUUCCUGAGACAACUGACGUGGCGAUGGCUGGUCAUCUACUUGUUGCGGCAGACAGGUACAAUAUUGAGAGGCUCAAGCUGAUAUGCGAAGAGAAGUUGUGCAACCUCAUUGACUCUGACGUCGUGGCGACUAGUUUGGCUCUAGCUGAGCAGCACGGCUUGCAUAGAAUCAAGGAGGCCUGUUUUGAGUUCCUCGCUUCGCCUUCCAAUUUGGAGGCGUGA